rnacentral:rRNA from 1 species
AUGUCGUCGUCGCGGUCCAACAACCGGCCGGCGUGCUCGCGGGGGAGCUCGGCGCGGUCCAAGCACAGCGAGCGGGUGGUGGCGCAGACGCCCGUGGACGCGCGGCUGCACGCCGAGUUCGAGGGCUCGCAGCGCCACUUCGACUACUCCUCCUCGGUCAGCGCGCUCAACCGCUCCGGGGCCAGCACCAGCUCCGCCGUCUCCGCCUACCUCCAGAACAUGCAGCGGGGCCGCUACAUCCAGCCCUUCGGCUGCCUGCUCGCCAUCCACUCGGAGUCCUUCGCGCUGCUCGCCUACAGCGAGAACGCCGCCGAGAUGCUCGACCUCACGCCGCACGCCGUGCCCACCAUCGACCAGCGCGACGCGCUCGCCGUCGGCGCCGACGUGCGCACGCUCUUCCGCUCCCAGAGCGCCGUCGCGCUGCACAAGGCCGCCGUCUUCGGGGAGGUCAACCUGCUCAACCCAAUCCUCGUCCACGCCAGGACCUCCGGAAAGCCCUUCUACGCCAUCCUGCACCGCAUCGACGUCGGCCUCGUCAUCGACCUCGAGCCGGUCAACCCCGCCGACGUGCCCGUCACCGCUGCCGGCGCGCUCAAGUCGUACAAGCUCGCCGCCAAGGCCAUCUCCAGGCUGCAGUCCCUGCCCAGUGGCAACCUCUCCCUGCUCUGCGAUGUGCUGGUCCGGGAGGUAAGCGAGCUCACUGGCUAUGACAGGGUGAUGGCAUACAAGUUCCACGAGGAUGAGCAUGGUGAGGUCAUUGCCGAGUGCAGGAGGUCGGAUUUGGAGCCGUAUCUUGGCCUGCACUACCCGGCAACUGACAUCCCGCAAGCAUCCAGGUUUCUGUUUAUGAAGAACAAAGUGCGGAUGAUAUGUGAUUGUGCUGCCAGUCCUGUGAAGCUCAUUCAGGAUGACAACCUGUCACAGCCUAUCAGCCUCUGUGGCUCGACCAUGAGGGCACCCCAUGGUUGCCAUGCCCAGUACAUGGCCAACAUGGGCUCCAUCGCGUCGCUGGUGAUGUCGAUCACUAUAAACGAGGACGACGAUGAGGAUGGAGACACUGGCAGUGACCAGCAGCCGAAAGGCAGGAAGCUGUGGGGGCUGGUGGUUUGCCAUCACACAAGCCCGAGGUUCGUCCCCUUCCCGCUCAGGUAUGCUUGCGAAUUCCUCUUGCAAGUGUUCGGCAUACAGCUCAACAAGGAGGUGGAACUUGCUUCUCAGGCAAAGGAGAGGCACAUCCUCCGCACGCAGACCCUUCUAUGUGAUAUGCUCCUCCGGGAUGCUCCUGUUGGGAUAUUUACCCAGUCCCCCAAUGUAAUGGAUCUGGUGAAGUGCGAUGGUGCAGCAUUGUGUUACCAAAACCAGAUUAUGGUGCUGGGAUCAACACCCUCUGAAGGAGAGAUAAAGAAGAUUGUCGCGUGGCUGCUGGAGUGCCAUGAUGGCUCUACUGGGCUAAGUACGGACAGCUUACUGGAAGCAGGCUAUCCUGGUGCGUCUGCGCUCGGUGAGGUUGUCUGUGGCAUGGCAGCUAUAAAGAUCUCUUCCAAAGGUUUUAUCUUCUGGUUCCGGUCGCACACGGCAAAGGAGAUCAAGUGGGGUGGAGCUAAGCAAGAACCAGGUGAUGCAGAUGACAAUGGCAGGAGGAUGCAUCCACGAUCUUCGUUCAGGGCCUUCUUGGAGGUAGUUAAAUGGAGGAGUGUUCCUUGGGAGGAUGUUGAAAUGGACGCAAUCCAUUCUCUCCAGCUAAUAUUGCGUGGCUCCCUGCAAGAUGAAGAUGCUACCGACAACAAUGCAGGGUCAAUUGUUGAAGCUCCAUCUGAUGACAUCAAGAAGAUACAGGGGCUACUUGAAUUGAGAAUUGUGACAAAUGAAAUGGUGCGCCUAAUUGAGACAGCAACUGCUCCUAUAUUGGCUGUCGACAUUGUUGGUAACAUAAACGGAUGGAAUAAUAAAGUUGCAGAAAUUACUGGGUUACCCACCACGGAAGCCAUAGGGAUGCUUCUGGUAGAUCUCGUGGAGGGUGAUUCUGUUGAAGUGGUUAAGCAAAUGUUGAACUCAGCUCUGCAAGGAACCGAAGAGCAAAAUUUGGAAAUCAAGCUUAAAACAUUCCAUCAACAGGAAAGUAAGGGCCCUGUAGUCUUGAUGGUUAACGCCUGUUGUAGUCGUGACCUUUCAGAAAAAGUUGUUGGGGUUUGUUUGGUAGCACAAGAUUUGACGGGGCACAAGAUGAUAAUGGAUAAGUAUACCCGGAUACAAGGCGACUAUGUUGCAAUAGUAAAGAACCCCAAUGAGCUCAUACCCCCUAUAUUUAUGAUUAAUGAUCUUGGUUCUUGCUUAGAAUGGAAUGAAGCUAUGCAAAAGAUUACUGGUAUAAAGAGGGAAGAUGCAAUAGAUAAGUUGCUGAUCGGGGAGGUUUUCACUCUUCAUGAUUAUGGAUGCAGGGUAAAAGAUCAAGCUACUCUAACCAAACUUAGCAUACUGAUGAACACGGUGAUCUCUGGUCAAGAACCCGAGAAGCUUGCUUUUGGUUUCUUCAACACAGAUGGCAAGUACAUGGAAUCACUGCUGACAGCAAACAAGAGGACAGAUGCUGAGGGUAAGAUCACCGGUGCUCUUUGCUUUUUGCAUGUGGCCAGCCCCGAGCUUCAGCAUGCUCUUCAGGUGCAGAAAAUGUCUGAACAAGCUGCUACACACAGCUUUAAGGAAUUGACAUAUAUUCGUCAAGAAUUAAAGAACCCACUCAAUGGCAUGCAAUUUACCCGUAAGUUGUUGGAACCAUCUGACUUGACAGAGGAGCAGAGGCAACUUUUUGCAUCAAAUGUUCUCUGUCAAGAACAGUUGAAAAAGAUUUUACAUGACAAUGAUCUAGAAGGCAUUGAACAGUGCUACAUGGAGAUGAACGCGGUGGAAUUCAACCUUGAAGAAGCUCUGAAUACGGUCCUAAUGCAAGGCAUGUCUCUGAGCAAAGAAAAACAAAUUUCUCUUGAUCGUGAUUGGCCUGUAGAAGUAUCAUCAAUUUACUUAUAUGGGGAUAACUUAAGGCUUCAGCAAGUCCUAGCAGACUACUUGGCAUGCACGCUUCAAUUUACUCGGCCAGCUGAAGGGCCUAUUGUACUCCAGGUCAUUCCCAAGAAGGAACACAUUGGUUCUGGCAUGCAGAUUGCUCAUCUAGAAUUCAGCAUAAAUAUUUUUGGGAUGGUGACUGUGCAAGACCAGAGCCAUCCCGGCCACUCAGAUAAAAAUUAUAGUGGGCAGCUUACUUGUCCACCCAGCACCGGGCGUCCCAGAGGCACUGAUACAGGAGAUGUUCCGGCACGGCCCAGGGGUAUCCCGAGAAGGCCUCGGCCUGCACAUAAGCCAGAAGCUGGUGAAGACGAUGAGCGGCACGGUACAGUACCUCCGAGAAGCGGAGAGCUCGUCGUUCAUCGUUCUGGUAGAGUUCCCGGUGGCGCAGCUCAAUAG